rnacentral:rRNA from 1 species
GGAGGGGGCCAGCGUUGCUCGGAAUUAUUGGGCGUAAAGGGCGCGUAGGCGGCCAGGUAAGUUUGAUGUGAAAUCCCACGGCUUAACCGUGGAAUUGCAUCUUAUACUGCCUGGCUGGAGUCUGGGAGAGGGAAGCGGAAUUCCCGGUGUAGCGGUGAAAUGCGUAGAUAUCGGGGGGAACACCAGUGGCGAAGGCGGCUUCCUGGACCAGUACUGACGCUGAGGCGCGAAAGCUAGGGGAGCAAACAGGAUUAGAUACCCUGGUAGUCCUAGCCUUAAACGAUGUGCACUUGGUGUUGGGGGUAUCGACCCCUCCAGUGCCGAAGCUAACGCAUUAAGUGCACCGCCUGGGGAGUACGGUCGCAAGGCUG